UUUUUGCCAUUUCUUGGGCCACUCCCGUGGCAUAUGGAGGUUCCCAGGCUAGGGGUCCAAUCGGAGCUGCAGCCACCAGCCUACGCCAGAGCCACAGCAACUCGGGACCCGAGCCGAGUCUGCAACCUACACCACAGCUCACGGCAAUGCUGGAUCGUUAACCCAUUGAGCAAGGGCAGGGAUCGAACCCGCCACCUCAUGGUUCCUAGUCGGAUUCGUUAACCACUGCGCCACGACAGGAACUCCCUCAAGGCAUUUUUUGAGGCAAGUCAGUGGGCAGAACAGCCCAGGGAUUUAGGCCUCUGCUCUCAUCCCCUCGUCACUGAAAAAAUUAAGAUCCAACCCUAUCUCCCACUGUGCUCACCGAUCCCCACAGUAGAUCUCAAGAAAAAAAGCCCACGGUGUUCUGUGGCUUUUGGCCCAGAGCGCAUGUGGGGUUUCCAAGACAGAAAAGAUUUGAAACCUGGAUACAAAAGUCCCACAGGCUGGCCCCUCCCCUUCCAGGCUGGGUCAGCUUUCAGUCAAUGGGUUCAUCUGGUCCAGGUGCCGGAGCCCUGGGUGGACCCCGAGGACAGAGGCCCCGCCUGCCUGCAGCGGUGCCGAGUCAGCAGGGAAGAGGGAUCCCAGAAUAGGAGCAGCCGGUGAGCGCCCACUGCCUGCACACGCGGCUGCUCAGAAUGACACCCCGGGCAUACAGGUACAGAGCAGAUAGCAAUUUUCCUUUUUACUUAUUGGUGCAAGGCCAGUCAGAGAGGCUGACAGGGCCCCAAACAAGCUGUCAGGAACUUCUAAUUAGGGCUGAGCAGCUUCAAGAGUGCACACGCCCUCCAGCCUCAGAAUUAGCAGGACAAAGUGCCGAGAUGGAGUCAGACAGGCUGAAAGACGGUGGGGCUGGAAGGGGAGGGAGGCGGGGAGCCAGGGGCUGCAUCACGCGUGGGCUGAGCUCCCCUUUCCAGGAAAGCACCUCAAUAAAGACAGAAGCCUGGAGCACAUCUCCUGUGCCUCGGAACUCCUCUCUGCCUCCUUCUUGAGUCCCAGUCAUUCGCUGAGUCCCAGGGAGGCAGCAGAGUGGUGUUGAGCUCGUGCACCUGAAUCAGCCAGACCUAGAUUCCAACCCCGACUCUCCUGCCCUCUGAAUUCCAGCUUCCUCUCAUACCUUGAGUGGUGUGAGCGCCUCAGCAGAGCUCCGGACACACAGUAAGUGCUUAAGAAAGACGUGGCCUCUGUUACAUCCUGGCAUCAUUCCCAUGAAGACCUUCACUGUCGUAACCACAAUAAUCACCACCACUGACUGUGCACUGAGCACCACUGCUAAGCAAGCUGGGUGCUGUUGCCCCAAGCGAGGCUCUAGCCACUGGCCCAGGGCUGACCAGCCUGAAGAGCUAUUGCCCUGAGCCAAAAUGGGUCCCCCUUACUGUCUGCUGAUGGGUCCUGGUCUUCCUCUUGGAGAUGCGGGGUCAGUCCAGGCCUUGACCGUGUGCCAGUCCUCCCGCUGUCCGAGGACCGUCACCACCCCUGCCCCGACUCAUCUCCAGUUAUUCCAACGGAUCCUCAUUGGCUGGGAUAUUAGUUAGCUAGUUGGUUAUGACAGUCAAAGGUGGUUCUGGACUUCACUCCCCUGACCCCCGUCUUUCUGCCAUAGCCAGUGUCAUUUUGUCAAUGUCCUUUUAAAGACACGAGCCUGGCAUGCAUAGCUCUGCACUGACUGGCCUGUCACCGCCCAGAGCUCUCUUGGGAGCCUUGUCACCCCAUUGAUUUAGGACAAGAUGCAGCCAAUGAAACCCCUAAGAAUUUUUCCAGACAUGCCACCGACAAGCCUCAUACCCUAUCCUGUCUCAAUACCCUUGGACUCUAGAAACAGUAGUUCCCCUGUCUUCCUAGCAGAUUUCAUUUCAUGUUCUGCCCAUAAGUCUAGCCUACUGAAAUUAUAUCACGUUUCUUUCAUAGCAAGGAGUUAAGAUCAUAGACUCUGGGGUCCCAUAGCCUGGUUCUGCAGCUGGCUACCUGAAGCUCUCUGUCCUCAGGUUACUUGUCUGUAAAAUGGGAAUAAUGAUUUGAUCCUCCUCAUCGGGAUGCUGAAAAAAAUGAAAUGUUAACACAGGCCCUGUGUCGAGAAUAGAGCCUGACACACGGGAAAGCUAUAGGGUAUUAGCUAUCAUUUUUUUUUAUUACUACUGCACGAGGUAUUUAUUACCCCCUUGUAGCUUGAGGUCACUCACGAAUCUUAUUCCGUCUGUCCUCCACAUCUUCACCAAAGGCACCGAGAACACCUCUCGAAAAGAUCAGGGGAUCCCCAGGUCCUGAGAACUUGCCCUCCAGAUUGAUCUCAGUCGUUAGGGAUUCCUUCUCCUCAGUCUUUGUCCUGUGAUAUAGCACCCAGCUCGUCCACAGGGCUGCCACAAAGUGCCUCACUGAAAUCCUCGUCCUAUAGCCAGAACAUUCUUUUGACCUACCGGUACUUCACAAAAGAAAAAGAGGCCCAUCUCCAGUGAGCCCACCCUCGCUUGGCUUCGCAUCCUCAGUCGUCUGCAUCCCGUCUGUGCUAGAAGCUUGCCCGGGGCCGCCAUGGAGCCCUCCGUGGGCCAUCUGCCGCCCUCUCCCUCGAAAAGCUGAACGACAUUUGCCUUUCUCCCCCCACGGCCCUCCCGCCACGUCUGCACAGGUCCCCAGGGAGGCCUGGGGUGAUUCGGCAAGCUCACCCGAGCAUCGCCCCACAGCACCCACAGGGUGACCUCCCCAUGGCUUUGUGCCACCGUGGGCUCCCUCAGACCAGGCCCUUCUGUCCCAGCCAACCAUCCUUCCAUCAGACAGGGUGUGGCCCUGCUGCCAGCCCUCUAACUCCCAUGAAUGUCCCUCUAACCAGCCACACCAUCGGACCACCUGCAUCUUGUCCUUGCUACAAAAGCAACUCAUACUAGAGUCCCUUCUUAAGGGCUUAAUGUCAUAUUUUUCCCCUCAUGGCUCACCUCGCCUGUGGCUUAGCCUUCCUGACCCUUGCCUCGUGGAGCACAACCCGCCGACCCCCCAGGGCUUCUUCCAGCCUGUCGAGAAUGUGAAUCCCUUGGGGGCUGCAUGUCCAGUGCGGAGGCCAGGGGCGGGGUUACCUGAGCCCCUGGUCCUGCUGGGUGGUGAACAGGCAUCGUCGCCGGGCACCGCAGGAGGUGAGGUGGCACUCUGGAGCAGAGCAGAAGGGAGCGUGAGGAAGAGGGGGCUGGGCCGUGGAUGGUGAGGGUGGGAGGCAGGAGGCCCCCGCAGCCUGGAGCUGUCACACGGGCCUCAUCUGUCUGCACACUGGGGACACGCUGCAGCUCCCCGCUCCCCGGGCCCUCCUGCUACUCUUUAUUCAUUAAAAUGCUCAGAUGCCGACUAACUUUAUUUGCUCAGUAUUUAUUUCGCUGGCCUUGAAGCGGGAACAACAGGCAGCUUGAUUGAAAGGUUGUCUGGUUUCAUUGUGGCUCCUGUAAGUAAUUCCACAGCCUCGGUGGAAAUGGUAUUUUAUAACUUGCCAGAGCAGAUAUCCCUUAGUGAAUUGGGACAGAUAUUCCUGCGUCACCCAAACUGUCUUCUCCCUGAUGUUCAGGCCUCUAGAAUCACUGCCCCCCUCCCCAGCCCCAUGACCUGGGCUCCUCCAGGGCUACUCAGAGGGAUGUUGGAGGAGCACAGAGCCAGUCUCCCUGGCAGGUGGCAGCCACCCUCUGCCACCCCACACAGGCAGAGGGGACACGGCCAGAAAUGCAGCAUGAGGGUUAGACCUGGGCUCACUCCAAAGGGUGAGACUCCAGAAUGGGGACAUGGUGAUAGGGGGACAUGGCGAGGCAGUGACAGUGUGACUUUUCCUUUCCUGGAAGCCCCCAAAGGCCAGGCUGGCAGCAUUGGCCCAGUCCUGCCUGGAGAAAUGGAAAGCUAAGAUGCCUCCUGGAAAGCAAUAAAAAUAGGAGGAAUCAGAUUCCACCAGCAGCUCCCCUGCUUCCCCCUCCAACCCUGCCUGCCUCCCUCCCACUGGGAGGUCCGGUAGGCAGAGUGUGUCCCCAGGCACAGCUGGGCAGGGUUCUCCAGGGGAGGAGGGGGCAGUGGCCGGGCCCUCACACCACUGUAUUCCCUUUGCCCCUUGGAGGACAGAGGCUUCUCAGGCAGAGCAGAUCUCUUAUGCCUUGGGGCUCCCAGUGAGCUCCCCGUGUGCCCAGGACAGCCCUGCCCUGUCUCUGAACCUGCAGCACCGCCUUCCACAGGGGCUUUGGAAGGUUGGCGCAGAGCAGAGGGAGCUCCGUCUCCUUCCCCGAGAGCGCUGAUUGCAGCUCUGAUCGCGGCCCGGCAAUCACCUUCUCCUUACUAUUAUGACUAAAUCAAGUUGGGUGAUUUAUUUCCCACUUAUCUUUCCCGCUUCCGCUCCCUGUCUGAUCCGCACUGUUGAACACACCAGAGUGAAAACAGAUCAUCCGUUCCGAUCAGCAGCUGAGGAGUUGAAAACCAUACCCCUCCUGCUGCCUUGGGCAGGGGGGGCUCUGCAGCAGUGGGGGAGACUGGGCUGGCCCCAGACCCCAGCUUCAGUGGGCAGGAGGAGGAGUGUCAUGGCUUUGGGAGCCUCUGCAGAGGAAACGGGCCACCACGAUGCUAAAAAACAGCAAGGGAGUGAGCGGUGGUAGCUGGCAGCAGGCAGCGGGCCUCACCUUGAGGCAGUCCCACUCCCCAAGGCUUCACACCGACCAGGCCUCUCUCACUGUUCCCCUCUCCUGUACCAGUGGGCCUUGAAGGUCCUGCAGCCGGGCCUGACCCAUCAGCCCCACAGGUUCCCUGCCCUGCCCUCUGGGCCCAUGUUUAGUGGACAGAAGAAACCUAGCCAUGCCUGACAUCCUCCGCCUGGGCUCCUGCAGCCGGGCUGGCCACCUUCUCUGGACACGCCACCCCUGGAGUGGAGGGACUGCAGUCCACAGGAUGUCACUGCCUGCUUUAGGAGGUGGCAUUUACCAGUAAGCCAGAUUCUUCCGUGUUUGCAGAAAGGGAGGAGGAACAUUACCUUGGGGGCAGUGCUGUUGUUGUUGGCAGAGCAAAAAUCACUUGGGUGCCUUAUCUUUAUUUCAUAUUAUAUUUUGUAUUUAUUUACAUAUAAAUAAUAUUUGUAAAUACUGCCUGGGAUACUCCUGACCCAAGCAAAGGAUGCAUCAAGAUGUCUUCUCUGUUUAUUCGAAAAGCUGCCUCUCCAGGUGUACAGACUGUGUGAAGGUGGGCCAUGCAGAGCAGGAACUCAAGGGCCUUCUGGGUGGGAGGGAACCAAGACUUAAACUUUUUCCCUAUAAGGGCUAAGAUUGAAGCCAUCUGUUGAGUAAGCUAGGGUGGCACUGCAGGAGUUCUGAUGGCAGGAUAGGACCCCAAGGGCCACAACAGGAGACUCACAGUGAGGGAACUGGGCAGCAGGGCUGGUGACCUAAGCAACCACCAGUAUUGGAAUAAGCUUUGGGAAUGAUGGUGGGACCAUGACCUUGGAGCCAAGGCGUGGAUCCUUGGACCUCUGGACUUGUAAGGGAGCUGGACCAACAGAAACAACCCAUAAGAACAAGAAACCUUGGAGGUAGCAGCCAAAGCAAAGCAUGGCAUAUUGUAUCCUAGGAGGCCUUCAGCUUGUUAUCAGGCACAUAGCUUUCAAUAAAGGUUGACUCAUUACUGAUGAGGCUAGUUGAUAGUCUUUGAGUGUGAGCUAUGUGCCAGAUAAUUCCAUACCUUCAACAAUAAUUGAAUCAUUUAAUUCUAAAAACUAUUAAAUAGGAACUAUUCUUGCCCCCAACUUUAUAAAUAAAGAUACAGAGGCACAGAGAGAGCAAUAAUUUAUUCAAAGUCACAAAACCGGGAUUUGAAUCUAGGCUCACUGUUACUAUGUUGACAAUGAACGUUAUCUAUUGUUCCCUACUCCAAUCACCAAGAUCAUAUUAACCCUUUGAAACACUGUUGAAAGGGUUAAGAGGAUCCAUAGAUUAUAGAGAAGCCUCAGGAAAACGGUGGGUCACUACCCAGGAGCUGACAAUGAUCCCAACACCUUCCCUCUGUCCUUACCUCCCCCAGAACCUCAUGUAAAACCCUCUUUCCAGAAACAAUGGAUUCAUUUACUCUAAGUUAGGUGUGACUGCAGAGUUUAGCACAUUACUUCUCCUGAUCUCUACGCCUUUUAAUUUGG
rnacentral:lncRNA from 1 species